AUUGAACGCUGGCGGAAUGCUUUACACAUGCAAGUCGAACGGCAGCACGGGGCAACCUGGUGGCGAGUGGCGAACGGUGAGUAAUACAUCGGAACGUGCCCAAUCGUGGGGGAUAACGUAGCGAAAGUUACGCUAAUACCGCAUACGAUCUACGGAUGAAAGCGGGGGAUCGCAAGACCUCGCGCGAGUGGAGCGGCCGAUGUCAGAUUAGGUAGUUGGUGGGGUAAAGGCUCACCAAGCCAACGAUCUGUAGCUGGUCUGAGAGGACGACCAGCCACACUGGAACUGAGACACGGUCCAGACUCCUACGGGAGGCAGCAGUGGGGAAUUUUGGACAAUGGGCGCAAGCCUGAUCCAGCCAUUCCGCGUGCAGGAUGAAGGCCUCGG
rnacentral:rRNA from 1 species